GCCCUAUAUAGAUGUAUUCAACGCUAGACAGUUGGGCAUCUCCCUGUAGGAUGAAGUUUAAUUAGAAGCUCUGGCAAUAAUUUUCAUCGUGUGGCUAAAGUCGAAAUGGAAUGAGUCAGAGUGGAAUAGGUUAACCGUAAGACCUUGAGUUGAAAAACUCUAAAAUUGAGCUAGAGAUACGGGAGUUUUGAAAUUUCGUAUUUUCUAGUUACGGUGCU
rnacentral:ncRNA from 12 species